GAGGGGAGGUUGAACCAGCGGGAACUGCUAACUCUCGCAUCUGAGUAUAAAACCUCAGCCCCCUU
rnacentral:tRNA from 1 species